GUUUCCAGCUAGUCUGUCUACUUGGAGAUGAUGUGCCCAGAUAUGAGCAGCCCAUGAUGACCAGAUCUAACCUCUAUUUAUGUGGACAUGCCUCACUAUCCCCUGAUCCCUGGGCCAGAAAUUCCUACAUGCUCAUCUGGGUGUUUCUACAAGCUCACUGGAACCAACGGACACAUGCACAGAUGUGUUUCCAUAGUGAUUCCAACUAGUCAGGUUUACAAUAAAGUCAUAUAGCACAAAUAAUUCUCAGAAGAGUGUUCCAUGAAACCAGACCGAAUAAAGAAAAGAGCCAAAGACAAGCAAGAAAUAGCUGCACAUAUGAAUUCACAGAAAUUGAGACAACAUGCACAAGACCUGUGAAAGCUCAAGGCUGACACAAUUCCAGCU